rnacentral:rRNA from 1 species
GACGGAAGGUGCAAGCGUUGCUCGGAAUCACUGGGCGUAAAGGGUGCGUAGGCGGCUUGGUAAGUUGGGUGUGAAAGCCCCGGGCUCAGCCCGGGAAGGGCACUCGAAACUGCCGAGCUGGAGUUCGGUAGGGGAGACUGGAAUUCCUGGUGUAGCGGUGAAAUGCGCAGAUAUCAGGAGGAACACCGGUGGCGAAGGCGGGUCUCUGGGCCGAUACUGACGCUGAGGAGCGAAAGCGUGGGGAGCGAACAGG